AACGUACGCUGGCGGCACGCCUAACACAUGCAAGUCGAACGCAGUAGCAAUACUGAGUGGCAGACGGGUGAGUAACAUGUGGGAAUCUGCCUUGUGGUUCAGGACAACAUUGGGAAACCGAUGCUAAUACUGGAUAAGCCCUUACGGGGAAAGUUUUAAUGCCAUAAGAUGAGCCCGCAUUUGAUUAGUUAGUUGGUGAGGUAAUGGCUCACCAAGACAAUGAUCAAUAGCUGAUCUGAGAGGAUGAUCAGCCCCACUGGGACUGAGACACGGCCCAGACUCCUACGGGAGGCAGCAGUGGGGAAUCUUGCACAAUGGAGGAAACUCUGAUGCAGCGAUGCCGCGUGAGUGAAGAAGGCCUUUGGGUUGUAAAGCUCUUUUGUAGGGGAAGAUAAUGACUGUACCCUAAGAAUAAGGUCCGGCUAACUUCGUGCCAGCAGCCGCGGUAAUACGAAGGGACCUAGCGUAGUUCGGAAUUACUGGGCGUAAAGCGCGCGUAGGCCGUUGAGUUAGUUAAUUGUGAAAUCCCAAAGCUUAACUUUGGAACUGCAAUUAAAACUGCUCGACUAGAGUUUGAUAGAGGAAAGCGGAAUACAUAGUGUAGAGGUGAAAUUCGUAGAUAUUAUGU
rnacentral:rRNA from 1 species